rnacentral:rRNA from 1 species
CGUAGGGGUUCUGAGAGGAAGGUCCCCCACACUGGUACUGAGACACGGACCAGACUCCUACGGGAGGCAGCAGUGAGGAAUAUUGGUCAAUGGGAGAGAUCCUGAACCAGCCAAGCCGCGUGAGGGAAGACGGCCCUAUGGGUUGUAAACCUCUUUUGUCGGAGAACAAAACCCGGGACGAGUCCCGGACUGCGUGUAUCCGAAGAAAAAGCAUCGGCUAACUCCGUGCCAGCAGCCGCGGUAAUACGGAGGAUGCGAGCGUUAUCCGGAUUUAUUGGGUUUAAAGGGUGCGUAGGCGGUCUGUUAAGUCAGCGGUAAAAUUGCGGGGCUCAACCCCGUCGAGCCGUUGAAACUGGCAGACUUGAGUUGGCGAGAAGUACGCGGAAUGCGCGGUGUAGCGGUGAAAUGCAUAGAUAUCGCGCAGAACUCCGAUUGCGAAGGCAGCGUACCGGCGCCAGACUGACGCUGAGGCACGAAAGCGUGGGGAUCGAACAGGAUUAGAUACCCUGGUAGUCCACGCAGUAAACGAUGAAUGCUGGUUGUCCGGGUCGAAUGAGAUCUGG